CUUCUGCGUUCUCAUAAGGCAAGGAUAUAGACAUGAAUAUAUUGUACUCACAUAGUAUUUUAACACAGUCAAAAGAUAAUAUCAAGUUAAUAGUGCGUCUACUGACCACUCUGAAAAACAGAGAAAUCCAACUAUUUUUGCCAAAUAUGCGUUUUACAAAGAUAGAAGCAAAAGAAGCAAGAGGAAGCAAACCUGGGUCAUGUCAAAAUGAGACUGGAGUCAGCAAACACAAGCCAGGAAAAUCUUUCGGACUUUACAAUACCUUGAUCCCAGAGUUGGACCCUGAUACGGCCCUCGUCCCCAGCAGAUUCUGCAGGUCACGCUUCUCUGUGCUCCCACUUAGUUGACUUACCAAUGUGGUACCAAGCGGGACUGUGCUCUCCCUCUUCAUUUCUUCCACAAAGACAAAGCUUUACAGCCACUCUCCCGGCUUUAAUCCUACAACCAGUGGUUCUCAACUGGAAGCCGCACAGUGUAAUCAUCUAGGGAGCUUGUGAUGGUCCCACCUGUGAAGGGUCUGAUUUAAUUGGUCUGGGGUGUGACCUGGGCAUCCGGAUGUUAAUAAGCUCCUCAGGACAUACUAAUGUGCAGUCAAGGUUGAGAACUGUUGCUUUCCUGCCUGCCAGAGAUAUCUCACACCAGUCCCACCCUAGAGACUGGCUCAGAUGGAACAAUUUGUAGCAAAGAAUUUUAAUUAGCUUGAUAGUGGCAGAACUGAAAUUAGAUUCUACGUUUCCUGACUUCCAUAUGCGCCAUUUUGCUUCGUGGCCAAGAUACUUACAUUUAAAGCUUUCAUAUCAAUUUGAUAGCCAAAGUGUGACCAGAAAAAUAGGGAAGCCUCCAAAGAUACCUAUCAAGGUUCCUUUAUAACAGUCCUUAUUUCAAGGGGCUUUCAUUGGUAUCAUUCACUGUAACUUUCAACAUACUUUUGACUCAGCUCUCAACGGCAGGCAAUGAAUGACACCUUAGCUUGGGUUCUACUCCUCUGACUUCUGGUUAUCAAUUUCCAGUUGGUGGGGAAGAGGCUUACAUUUGAGUCAGAAGUAAGUAAAGGGCAUUGGAAGGUGCUCACUUCUCUCAACCUCUUUUAAAGGAGCAGCAGAAAGAACUGAAGCGUCAGGAAGAACCAGAUGGGCAGGAAAGUUGUUUGUAAGAUUGAAUCCAAGCAGCAGUAGCCCUGCCCCUUCCCCCAAGAGAAGCAGCCUGAUGAUAAAGAUGAUGAUGAUGAUGAUGAUAGCACCAAACCCUUAUUUAAUCCUUUACAGUUUUAAACAUGCUUUCAUGCAUAUUAUAUAUUUUAUCCUCACAGCAAACUUGCUGUGACUGUUCAGAUAAGGAAACUAAGGCCUAGAGACAGUUAAAGUAGCUUGCCCCAAAUCACACAGCUAGUGUGAAGGGGCUUCCAUGACACAAAUGAAAACAUUGUCUUCCUGUUCUUAGGCUUUUUAUCACUCCUUUUAUGUUGUAAUGUAUCACUGCCACCUAGAUGUAAAGUUAAUGGAGCUGGAGUUGACUUCUCUUAAUCCUCAGCAGUGUUUUACUUUUCCAUUAUUUUUCAGUUACCAGAUUUUUAUUUUUGACAAAGGAAUAUUAAAGGUAAAAGCAAAGUAUUUUGUUCCGUUUCUCACAUAGAGUUUAGAAGACCAGGCAGCAGACUUGCCAGGAAAUCACUAUUAGAAUAAACCUGGAACCAUAACCAUCACAGAGGGAUAUAGCCAAUCAGGUGAUUCUCUGAGCAACUGCAGCAAGGCUGCAAAAUGCAGUUACCCUGAGCAUGAGAUCCCUUCCUAAUUAUGCCUCUGAUGCACAUGAUAUUCCAUUGGUACUGUAGUUGCCUCUCUGUGUCUUCUCUCUCCAAUAUUAUCAGUUUCUUGAAGGCAAAGCUGCAUGUUUUUCGGUUUCCUCCUCCCCUCCUCGUAAUCCCUGCACUUCCUGGUGUUUAUAUUAUUACCACCAUUUAUCACCUGCCCUUGACAUUCACCUUAAACAGAUUUUGCCUGUAUAAAACUGAUAGGAAAGGGGAGAGAAGUUUCUUUGCUCUAAUUUGCAUCAGGCCCCACAUGCCUAGGGAUGGCCUUUUCUUAAUCUCUAUAACGUUCUUGUAAUGAUACUUUCCCAACUAUAUAACACCUUGAUUGCCCAUGGGAGAGAGUUAAAUAAUG